CAAGUUCUUUACGAAGAAGAAAUGGCGAACACUCUGGCCCCGAGUCAUGCGUAGUACGCCGCGAGGCUAUGGUGAAGCGUUGACAGAGGAAACGACAGGCCAGCCAUUGAGCCGCGAAAUAAGCAAGUUGGGGAUGCUGACGCUGUGUGUAAAAGCGGAAGACCACAAAGCAUGACGACAAUCGCAAGGCGUGCUUUGAUCCCUCGCGGUCGCAAACCC
rnacentral:ncRNA from 2 species